CGUUCUUCUGGGGACUACCCCCACUAGCUUAAAACCCAAAGGACUUGGCGGUGCUUUACAUCCACCUAGAGGAGCCUGUUCUGGAACCGAUAACCCCCGUUUAACCUCACCCUCCCUUGCUUAUUCCGCCUAUAUACCGCCGUCGUCAGCUUACCCUGUGAAGGCAGCAUAGUAAGCAAAACCAGUACAACUCAAAACGUCAGGUCGAGGUGUAGCAUACGGGAGGGGAAGAAAUGGGCUACAUUCUCUGGUUAAGAGAAUACGGAUAAUGACAUGAAAAAUCAUUUGAAGGAGGAUUUAGUAGUAAGCAAAAAGCAGAGUGUUUUGCUGAAACCGGCCCUGAAGCGCG
rnacentral:rRNA from 1 species